ACUGUGUUUGGCAUCGCAGUUCCGACGGCAGCCGCCGUUUCGCGACCCACGGCGGACUUGCAUAAACACUUUCUAGUUGGAAUCUCACCCUGUGAGGUGGGCAAGGUAGUGAUAUUCCUGUUUGACGCCGACAGAAAUAAGAGAGAUUGACUCUCAGAACCAUGUGGCGGGAUUUUAAAGGAGGAUCUUAACAGUGGCUCGGACAGACCCGUGUUUUCUGCUCCUAGCAUUAACUACGUCGUUAAACCCUUCUGAAUUUAUUUCGUCUGUGAAAUGGGGAAAAGAUAGCCACCUUGCAUAACUGGUGAAGAAUUCGUAAACUGACAGCAGAAUCUAGUAAGAGGACUGGCCCGUGGUCGGCUCUUAAUGGUGUCACAGAAUAAAGAAAAAGACUGGGAGAGAGAUGGGAGCUGAUAGACCAGAGGAGACCAAAGACUGAAACUGAAGACUAAACCAUGGAAAUUGGGAACAAGCACUUACUCGCUUAGAGGGUGAAAAAAGUGAAUUUGCCUACAGGGCCAAUUUGGAAGCACCUCUCCCUGGAAGCCAGUCAAUGAAGAGCCAUUGGAGGAUUUUAAAUAAGGAACCGAAAAAUGGAGUCUGAAAAUAGAGGCGCAGAGACCGGUCAACCACAAUGAAGAACAAGCCAUUUUGACCUCCAUCCUGGCUCAUCUCCUCUGUGUUCUCAUAGCAUCAUAUUAUAGAAUGGAUCACAAACGCCUUUGCAGUUGCCUAUUUAUUUGUCCAUUUCUCCCUCCAGACUGCCUUUGUGAGAAAAACACCCAAAUGCCACAAGUGCAUCCCCAGGGAGGUGCAGGGUGGCAGGAGCUGAGGAUGCAAAAACAUAAUUGCUUUCUAUCUACUCUGAUUUGAGCUUCAUCAAAUCCUUUGGCUCCCAAGGCAUUCUGCAGCAGAUGUGUGCACAAUAUUCCAGCACUAGGACUUGUGUCUGCGGGUACUGCUCGAGGCCCAAGAGUCUGAGGGUCUGCAAAGCCUCCAAGCCCUUCCCCUUCCUCCCAGGCCUCAGGGCCUGUGCUGGCCACCCUCCUAUACAGCCCUUACUUGGCAUUCUUGCUAAGUCCUGUGGGGGCUCCAUCCUUGACUCUUUUCAUUCCACGCUGAUGUCUUCUGGGCUCUGCGCCUCAGGGGAGAACUUGCAAUGCUAGUAAUAAACAAAGAGUACUCAUGAUAA
rnacentral:lncRNA from 10 species